rnacentral:tRNA from 1 species
UGCGGGGUCGUCUAAAGGUAGGACGCUCGGCUCUGGACCGAGUAGUCUAGGUUCGAAUCCUAGCCCCGCAG